rnacentral:misc_RNA from 1 species
CAGACUUGGAGUCCCAUGUUUGAUUUGGUAAAUGUGUUUGAAGUGUUUCUUCCACAACUUCUCUUGUAUCCAAAUCCAUCAGACCCAUUGAAUGGAGAGGCUGCUGCCCUUAUGAUGCGAGACCGGGCUGCCUAUGAACUAAGAGUUAAAGAAUUUUGUCAGAAAUAUGCCAAGCCUGAAGAUGUUGGAGCUGCUGCCCCUGAGGAGAAGUCAAGUGAUGAGGAGUUGAGUGAAGCUGAAUAUGAUUCAGCUGAUGAUGCAGUUGCAGGCCCUGUUGAUCCAUGACCGACUCCCGCACUCAUUGACUUUAUGUAUCUGUAAAUGAUGUUCUUAGUCCUGUUUAAUAUCAAGCUGAACUACAAAGUUCAAGACAAUGUUCCCCUUGUUUUAUUAGUUUAGCUUCAAUGUAAAUAAUUUCACCCUUUAAUUACUGUGUUCAUAUUUG